rnacentral:rRNA from 1 species
GACGAACGCUGGCGGCGUGCUUAACACAUGCAAGUCGAACGGAAAGGCCCCCAUCUUGGUGGGGGUGCUCGAGUGGCGAACGGGUGAGUAACACGUGGGUGAUCUGCCCUGUACUUCGGGAUAAGCUUGGGAAACUGGGUCUAAUACCGGAUAGGACCAUGGUUUAGUGUCUCAUGGUGGAAAGAUUAUUGUUUUGGUGCAGGAUGAGCUCGCGGCCUAUCAGCUUGUUGGUGGGGUAAUGGCCUACCAAGGCGUCGACGGGUAGCCGGCCGGAGAGGGUGGACGGACACAUAGGGACAGAGAUACGGCACAGACUCGGACGGGAGGCAGAAGUGGGGAAUAGUGCAGAAUGGGCGCAAGACUGAGGAAGCGAGGCCGCGUGAGGGAGGACGGCGUUCGGGUUGUAAACUCCUUUCGUUAGGGACGAAGCCGCACUUUUUUUGGGUGUGGUGACGGUACCUUUGUUAAGAAGCACCGGCUAACUACGUG